rnacentral:rRNA from 1 species
AACGAACGCUGGCGGCAGGCUUAACACAUGCGAGUCGAACGCACCGCAAGGUGAGUGGCAGACGGGUGAGUAACACGUGGGGAUCUGCCCAAUGGUACGGAAUAGCUCUGGGAAACUGGAAUUAAUACCGUAUGUGCCCGCAAGGGGAAAGAUUUAUCGCCAUUGGAUGAACCCGCGUCGGAUUAGCUAGUUGGUGUGGUAAAGGCGCACCAAGGCGACGAUCCGUAGCUGGUCUGAGAGGAUGAUCAGCCACACUGGGGCUGAGACACGGCCCAGACUCCUACGGGAGGCAGCAGUGGGGAAUAUUGGACAAUGGGCGCAAGCCUGAUCCAGCCAUGCCGCGUGAGUGAUGAAGGCCUUAGGGUUGUAAAGCUCUUUCGCCGGAGAAGAUAAUGACGGUAUCCGGAGAAGAAGCCCCGGCUAACUUCGUGCCAGCCGCCGCCGUAACAC